ACAGAAUUGUCUUUGUCUGCCCAUGUGAAUCAAAACAAGCAAAGAGAAGAUUAGCAUGGCCCCUGUGCAAGGAUGACACACCAGUUUGUGAAGUGUUCCAUAUUUAC
ensembl:snRNA U6 U6 spliceosomal RNA